rnacentral:rRNA from 1 species
CGGCGUGCUUAACACAUGCAAGUCGAACGCUGAAGCCUGGCUUUUGUUGGGUGGAUGAGUGGCGAACGGGUGAGUAACACGUGAGUAACCUGCCCCCUUCUUUGGGAUAACGCCCGGAAACGGGUGCUAAUACUGGAUAUUCACUGGCCUUCGCAUGGGGGUUGGUGGAAAGGGUUUUCUGGUGGGGGAUGGGCUCGCGGCCUAUCAGCUUGUUGGUGGGGUGAUGGCCUACCAAGGCUUUGACGGGUAGCCGGCCUGAGAGGGUGACCGGUCACAUUGGGACUGAGAUACGGCCCAGACUCCUACGGGAGGCAGCAGUGGGGAAUAUUGCACAAUGGGCGCAAGCCUGAUGCAGCGACGCCGCGUGAGGGAUGGAGGCCUUCGGGUUGUGAACCUCUUUCGCUCAUGGUCAAGCCGCAACUGUGGGUUGUGGUGAGGGUAGUGGGUAAAGAAGCGCCGGCUAACUACGUGCCAGCAGCC